CGAACGCUGGCGGCGUGCCUAACACAUGCAAGUCAAGGGGAAAGUUUUACUUCGGUUUAACGAGUAUACUGGCGGACGGGUGAGUAACGCGUAGGCAACCUGCCCUUUUGAACGGGAUAACCCAGCGAAAGUUGGACUAAUACCGUAUAAUGCAUAUAUAUCGCAUGAUUAAUAUGUUAAAGGCUGCUCUUCGGAGCAUCCACAAAAGGAUGGGCCUGCGUUCCAUUAGUUAGUUGGUGAGGUAACGGCUCACCAAGACAGCGAUGGAUAGCUGGUUUGAGAGAGUGAUCAGCCACACUGGGACUGAGAUACGGCCCAGACUCCUACGGGAGGCAGCAGUGAGGAAUAUUGCGCAAUGGAGGAAACUCUGACGCAGCAACGCCGCGUGGGGGAUGAAGUUCUAUGGAGCGUAAACCCCUGUAAGUAGGGACGAAAGGUAGAUAUUCGAAUAGGGUAUUUAUUUGACGGUACCUGCAGAGUAAGCUCCGGCUAACUCC
rnacentral:rRNA from 1 species